AGAUUGAACGCUGGCGGCAUGCUUUACACAUGCAAGUCGAACGGCAGCACGGGAGCUUGCUCCUGGUGGCGAGUGGCGAACGGGUGAGUAAUGCAUCGGAACGUGCCGAGUAAUGGGGGAUAACGCAGCGAAAGUUGUGCUAAUACCGCAUACGCUCUGAGGAGGAAAGCGGGGGACCUUUCGGGGCCUCGCGUUAUUCGAGCGGCCGAUGCCUGAUUAGCUAGUUGGUGAGGUAAAGGCUCACCAAGGCGACGAUCAGUAGCGGGUCUGAGAGGAUGAUCCGCCACACUGGGACUGAGACACGGCCCAGACUCCUACGGGAGGCAGCAGUGGGGAAUUUUGGACAAUGGGGGCAACCCUGAUCCAGCCAUGCCGCGUGUCUGAAGAAGGCCUUCGGGUUGUAAAGGACUUUUGUCAGGGAGCAAAUACUGCCUGUGAAUAAUGGGUGGGAAUGAGAGUACCUGAAGAAUAAGCACCGGCUAACUACGUGCCAGCAGCCGCGGUAAUACGUAGGGUGCAAGCGUUAAUCGGAAUUACUGGGCGUAAAGCGUGCGCAGGCGGUUUUGCAAGUCUGAUGUGAAAGCCCCGGGCUUAACCUGGGAACGGCAUUGGAGACUGCAAGGCUAGAGUACGUCAGAGGGGGGUAGAAUUCCACGUGUGGCAGUGAAAUGCGUAGAGAUGUGGAGGAAUACCGAUGGCGAAGGCAGCCCCCUGGGAUGAUACUGACGCUCAUGCACGAAAAAGCGUGGGGAGCCAACAGGAUUAGAUACCCUGGUAGUCCACGCCCUAAACGAUGUCAAUUAGCUGUUGGGGGUUUGAAUCCUUGGUAGCGAAGCUAACGCGUGAAAUUGACCGCCUGGGGAGUACGGCCGCAAGGUUA
rnacentral:rRNA from 1 species